rnacentral:miRNA from 1 species
CUACUCCCCCGCCCUUGCGCGCUACUUAAUUAGACCGGGGGCGGAAUAUGACGUCAUAUUCCAGCCCGGUCUAAUUAAGUAGCGCGCGAGGGCGGGGGAG